rnacentral:sRNA from 1 species
CUUCCAUGUGAACACAGUGACUGAUGAUGACUACGCAGGCUUUCUCUUCAGUUAUCAAGACAGUGGCCGCUUCUACGUAGUCAUGUGGAAGCAGACCGAGCAGACCUACUGGCAGGCUACACCCUUCCGGGCGGUUGCCCAGCCCGGGCUGCAGCUCAAGGUCCCCAGCUGCUCAGAUUCCGCAACCCAGGGCCCUUUCCCAAAGCUCUCCUCUGCAGCCCCAGGGCCUCCCCCACUGCUUGACUGGGAACCCUCUUACCCAGACAUCUGGCUUGGAGGCCGGCUCUCUGGGGCCCCAGGGCAUUUUCAUGACCGCCUUGAAUCCCUUUCCCACCUGCACUUACCGACCUGUUGUCUCCCCUCACUCCAGUUCUGCAGUUGACUCACUGUCUUUGCCAAUGUCUCCUAGGCAGUGACAUCAGUGUCUGGCCCAGGUGAGCACCUCCGAAAUGCCCUGUGGCAUACUGGCCACACCCCUGAUCAGGUACGACUGCUGUGGACAGACCCACGAAAUGUGGGCUGGCGGGACAAGACCUCCUAUCGCUGGCAGCUUCUGCACCGGCCUCAAGUUGGCUACAUUCGGGUGAAGCUCUAUGAGGGACCCCAGCUUGUGGCGGAUUCUGGGGUGAUCAUUGACACAUCCAUGCGAGGGGGGCGUCUUGGUGUAUUCUGCUUCUCCCAAGAAAACAUAAUUUGGUCCAAUCUCCAGUAUCGAUGCAAUGACACAGUGCCUGAGGACUUUGAGCCAUUCCGGAGGCAGCUGCUCCAGGGAAGGGU